rnacentral:rRNA from 1 species
UACGUAGGGCGCGAGCGUUGUCCGGAAUUAUUGGGCGUAAAGAGCUCGUAGGCGGCCUGUUGCGUCCGCUGUGAAAUCCCGGGGCUCAACCCCGGGCGUGCAGUGGAUACGGGCUGGCUGGAGGCAGGCAGGGGAGAACGGAAUUCCUGGUGUAGCGGUGAAAUGCGCAGAUAUCAGGAGGAACACCGGUGGCGAAGGCGGCUAUCUGGCCCAAUAUUGACGCUGAGAUGCGAAAGCGUGGGGAUCAAACAGG